GACGAACGCUGGCGGCGUGCUUAACACAUGCAAGUCGAACGGAAAGGCCCUGCUUUUGUGGGGUGCUCGAGUGGCGAACGGGUGAGUAACACGUGAGUAACCUGCCCUUGACUUUGGGAUAACUUCAGGAAACUGGGGCUAAUACCGGAUAGGAGCUCCUGCUGCAUGGUGGGGGUUGGAAAGUUUCGGCGGUUGGGGAUGGACUCGCGGCUUAUCAGCUUGUUGGUGGGGUAGUGGCUUACCAAGGCUUUGACGGGUAGCCGGCCUGAGAGGGUGACCGGCCCAAAUGGGACUGAGAUACGGGCCAGACUCCUACGGGAGGCAACAGGGGGGAAUAUUGCAAAAUGGGCGGAAGCCUGAUUCAGGAACGCCGCGGGCGGGAUGACGGCCUUCGGGUUGGAAACCGCUUUCGCCUGGGACCAAGCGGGAGUGACGGUAAUGGGUAAAGAAGGAACGGCUAACUACGUG
rnacentral:rRNA from 1 species